GAAUGCUGACAUAAGUAACGAUAAAGCGGGUGAAAAGCCCGCUCGCCGGAAGACCAAGGGUUCCUGUCCAACGUUAAUCGGGGCAGGGUGAGUCGACCCCUAAGGCGAGGCCGAAAGGCGUAGUCGAUGGGAAACAGGUUAAUAUUCCUGUACUUGGUGUUACUGCGAAGGGGGGACGGAGAAGGCUAUGUUGGCCGGGCGACGGUUGUCCCGGUUUAAGCGUGUAGGCUGGUUUUCCAGGCAAAUCCGGAAAAUCAAGGCUGAGGCGUGAUGACGAGGCACUACGGUGCUGAAGCGACAAAUGCCCUGCUUCCAGGAAAAGCCUCUAAGCAUCAGGUAACAUCAAAUCGUACCCCAAACCGACACAGGUGGUCAGGUAGAGAAUACCAAGGCGCUUGAGAGAACUCGGGUGAAGGAACUAGGCAAAAUG
rnacentral:rRNA from 1 species